GUAUUCAUGCUUAGUGGCAGACGGGGGAGUAACAUGUAGGUAUCUACCCUUUGGCCUGGAAUAACACGAGGAAACUUGUGCUAAUACCGGAUAAGUCUUUACAGAGAAAGCUUUAUGCACCAUUGGAUGAGCCUGCACUUGAUUAGUUUGUUGGUGGGGUAAUGGCCUACCAAGACUAUGAUCAAUAGCUGAUUUGAGAGGAUGAUCAGCCACAUUGGAACUGAGACACGGUCCAAACUCCUACGGGAGGCAGCAGUAGGGAAUCUUGCACAAUGGAGGAAACUCUGAUGCAGCGAUGCCGCGUGAGUGAAGAAGGCCUUUGGGUUGUAAAGCUCUUUCGUCGGGGAAGAAAAUGACUGUACCCGAAUAAGAAGGUCCGGCUAACUUCGUGCCAGCAGCCGCGGUAAUACGAAGGGACCUAGCGUAGUUCGGAAUUACUGGGCUUAAAGAGUUCGUAGGUGGUUAAAAAAGUUGGUGGUGAAAUCCCAGAGCUUAACUCUGGAACUGCCAUCAAAACUUUUUAGCUAGAGUAUGAUAGAGGAAAGCAGAAUUUCUAGUGUAGAGGUGAAAUUCGUAGAUAUUAGAAAGAAUACCGAUUGCGAAGGCAGCUUUCUGGAUCAUUACUGACACUGAGGAACGAAAGCAUGGGUAGCGAAGAGGAUUAGAUACCCUCGUAGUCCAUGCCGUAAACGAUGUGUGUA
rnacentral:rRNA from 1 species